rnacentral:rRNA from 1 species
UACGUAGGGAGCGAGCGUUGUCCCGGAUUCAUUGGGCGUAAAGAGCUCGUAGGCGGCUUGGCAAGUCGGGUGUGAAAACUCCAGGCUCAACCUGGAGACGCCACCCGAUACUGCCAUGGCUAGAGUCCGGUAGGGGACCACGGAAUUCCUGGUGUAGCGGUGAAAUGCGCAGAUAUUAGGAAGAACACCGGUGGCGAAGGCGGCUCUCUGGAACGGUACUGACGCUGAGACGCGAAAGCGUGGGGAGCGAA